AUGGACUCUGGGGUUGUCCAGAAUCCUAGACAUCUGGUCAAAAGAAAAGAACAGAAAGCCAAAAUGGAUUGCACUCCCAUAAACGGACAUAGUUACGUUUAUUGGUACUACAAGAAACUGGGAGAAGAACUCAAAUUUUUGGUUUACUUUCAGAAUGAAGACAUCAUCGACAAAACAGAUAUGAUUGGUAAAAACAUUUCAGCAAAAUGCCCUGCUAAGAAACCAUGUACCAUAGAGAUCCAGUCCAGCAAGCUAACAGAUUCAGCUGUGUACUUCUGUGCUAGCAGUCAAUCCACAGUGGUGACUACUGGCUUUUCUCAGAACACAAACUCUUUAUAG